CUCUCUCACACACACACACAUUUGUUUUACUAUCCUUGUGGGGACCCAAAAAUCUAUUUUCCCCACAGGACCUAACCCUAACCCUUAACCUAACCUUAACCUUAACCCUAAUCCCAAACUCCUAACACUAAAACUAAACCUAAUCCUAACUGCUAACUGCUAACCCUAAACCUAACCCCUGACCCUAUCCUUAAUUCUAACCCCUACCCUAAUUGUAACCCUAACCCUAAAAAAGCCUUUUUCCUUAUGGGGAUUGGCAAAAUGUCCCCACUUGUUCGAAUUUUCCUUGUUUUACUAUCCUUGUGAGGACUUCUGGUACACACAAGGAUAGUCAAACCAAACCACUCACACACACCUAAACUCAUCAUCAGAGGUUUUUGAGAAUGUGUGUGUUUAGUUACAGGUAUGUUGGGCGCCGUGCUGACCAAACUAACCACUUGAGGAAGUCAGCUGAAGUAUGUGCAAACUGGAGCCCGUGUUUGCAGAAGAGUCAAAACACUGUAUAACCAUCCUACUGUAUGUGAUGUUAUCACAGUGAAUCUGAUAGUCUGCCAUGUGCUGGGUGGAUAGGGAAUUUGGAUUAGUCUGAUUGAAGCCUGCUAACCAGCCUUAAAGGAGGCAAAUCCCACACAAGAAGAUGGGGGUUGGAGGAUUGGGACUGUCUGCAGAGCUCUAAUGCACGCACGCACGCACGCACACACACACACACACACACACACACACACACACACACACACACACACACACACACACAGCUGAAACAGGUCUGGCAAAGGAUGGUUUAGACAAGGAGUAGAUAGUCUGUUUGUUUUAUUCUGUCAGUUAUGGAGCAUGACCAAACAUAUAUCCCCCUUUCAUCUUGGUCUUUAACAUGCGCCGGGCAUGCGCUGGAACCAAGAGAGGGAAGGACAGGAAGAGAAAGCAGAGUCAUGUCAAUAAAUAGAGGAUGAGAUUCGGUUCAUCCAGACGAGAGGACGAUAAUAACAUAGAAUAUACACAUGAAUUAGGCCAAUCAUUAGGAAGAGAUGGAAUCCUAAACCGCCAGACUGUCUGGACUGCAUCGUAUUAUCUAUGACCUCGCUGAGGCCUGGAUACAUGUCAAUUUGUGGUAGGACGUGAGGUCCCAAAUAUAAGUACUGUAUAUUUUCCAAUGUAUGGCCAAAUAUACUACACAGAUUGGAUAACAUGCUGGCUAUUAUCUCUUUCUAAAAUCCAAUAUCCCCAUUUCCUCCAGUGUCCACACUCCUCCAGUGUCCACACUCCUCCUGUUGUCCACACUCCUCCAGUGUCCACACUCCUCCAGUGUCCACACUCCUCCCAUGUCCACACUCCUCCAGUGUCCACACUCCUCCCGUGUCCACACUCCUCCAGUGUCCACACUCCUGCCGUGUCCACACUCCUCCAGUGUCCACACUCCUCCAGUGUCCACACUCCUCCAGUGUCCACACUCCUCCAGUGUCCACACUCCUUCCGUGUCCACACUCUUCCAGUGUCCACACUCCUCCAGUGUCCACACUCUUCCAGUGUCCACACUCCUCCAGUGUCCACACUCCUCCAGUGUCCACACUCCUCCCGUGUCCACACUCCUCCAGUGUCCACACUCCUCCCGUGUCCACACUCCUCCAGUGUCCACACUCCUCCAGUGUUCACACUCCUCCCGUGUCCACACUCCUUCCGUGUCCACACUCCUCCAGUGUCCACACUCCUUCCGUGUCCACACUCCUCCAGUGUCCACACUCCUUCCGUGUCCACACUCCUCCAGUGUCCACACUCCUUCCGUGUCCACACUCCUUCCGUGUCCACACUCCUUCCGUGUCC
ensembl:lncRNA